AAAUUGAAGAGUUUGAUCAUGGCUCAGAUUGAACGCUGGCGGCAGGCCUAACACAUGCAAGUCGAGCGGUAGCACAGAGAGCUUGCUCUCGGGUGACGAGCGGCGGACGGGUGAGUAAUAUCUGGGAAACUGCCUGAUGGAGGGGGAUAACUACUGGAAACGGUAGCUAAUACCGCAUAACGUCGCAAGACCAAAGUGGGGGACCUUCGGGCCUCAUGCCAUCAGAUGUGCCCAGAUGGGAUUAGCUAGUAGGUGGGGUAACGGCUCACCUAGGCGACGAUCCCUAGCUGGUCUGAGAGGAUGACCAGCCACACUGGAACUGAGACACGGUCCAGACUCCUACGGGAGGCAGCAGUGGGGAAUAUUGCACAAUGGGCGCAAGCCUGAUGCAGCCAUGCCGCGUGUGUGAAGAAGGCCUUCGGGUUGUAAAGCACUUUCAGCGGGGAGGAAGGCGGUGAGGUUAAUAACCUCAUCGAUUGACGUUACCCGCAGAAGAAGCACCGGCUAACUCCGUGCCAGCAGCCGCGGUAAUACGGAGGGUGCAAGCGUUAAUCGGAAUUACUGGGCGUAAAGCGCACGCAGGCGGUCUGUCAAGUCGGAUGUGAAAUCCCCGGGCUCAACCUGGGAAC
rnacentral:rRNA from 1 species